rnacentral:lncRNA from 1 species
CUUUCACCCUGUACUGAAUUAAGGUGCGGCUAAGGACUUUGGUCAUGAGAUGUGGCAUUGUUCCAACCUGAAAGAUGGGGGGAAGGAGGGAGGGAGAAAGGUUACUCCCAGCUGUCCACUGCUGCACUCUUUGCUCCUUUGUUUCUGGUGAUCACUGCUGCAGUAAAAAUUGUUAGUAGCUGCAUGAGGAAAGCUAGCCGAGCUGGGGCAUCUCUGCUCUUUAACUAAGAAUUUCAUCCAGCGUCAGUAAUUUUCCCUUUGAGCCCUCUUGCUAAAUGUCCUUGGUGGCGGAUGAAUCCUGAGCAUUUAAGGAUGGGAACCGAGCUGUUGAAAGGAACAAGUUGUCUCAUACCCAACCUCUUGGAGAUACCAAACCAAACUUGCAAAAAUGUACUGAUGAAGAACUAAAUAGUAUUGGCUGGAGAUAAAGAAAUCCCAGACUUUCCUUAUCACUAUUUUUGUAAGCAAUACUGAUGGAAAUACAGGAAGAACUGUGAUGAUCACAGAAUUGAAGUGCUGACAAUAGGUUUGUCUGUGCUAAGUGUGCUGAAUCCUGCUGGUUUGUGAAGAUCUUCAGGCCAAGUGGAGCAGUGUGACACACUCUGAAGAGGUCUUACACCUGCUGAGAAUGGUGGAUUUUUACCAUUCAUGGACAGUUGCACUACUAAAGCACUGGUGGCAUCUGCGAGCAGCCGCCCUCGAGGGUACACUUCAUGUCUGUAAUUGCAUUUUGUCACCUACAGAGGGUGUUAAGAAUCUUGUUAAAAAUAAAGGAAAUAGUUAAGAGACAUCUCACUGUAGCCAUUACUAUCGUGCAAAUUACCAGGUAGAGCAAUCCAGAAGCUGUCAGGAAAGGUUAGUAAGAAAGAGUGUCAGGAAAUCAACCAUUCAGCAAUUCAUCAUAGCCUAACACUAGCUUUAAAAUGAAAGCUUUAAAGCAGCAUUGUUUUAUGAAGUAACGGACAUUAGCUUUUUUUUUUUCUUUUUUCUUUUUAUUUUGCAGCAGCGAAUAAAGAUAACAAGGAGAGUGGUUCUCUUACGAAAGAUAUAAAGACAUAGGGAUGAAAAAUGUAAAUGACUUUAUUGCACAAAUUUGCAAGCAAGGUAAAAAUGAGAGGAAGGUUGUUAGAAUGGAGGGAGACGGUUGCUGUGUAUUAUCUCUCCUUCAUUUUAAUUUUGGAGUAUGAAUCCAAUUUUGCAACCUUUGCUCAGGUGAAGGUUAGCAGGUUUUCCAGGUCACCAAUCUGGUCUCUGAAAGCUCUGUAAGACAUCAUGAAAACAGAUACAAUUUGCUCUUCAGAAAGUUUUACGAGCGUAGUCUUGAUGCUGGUUGUAACACAGAUUACCUUUGUUAGGGGAUACUGGAAGAGCUUGUUAGCAUUUGUCUCACUAGCAGAUAAGUCAAAGGAAGAAGGAGCUAACAUUUCAGGCCCAAGUUAGCCAGUAAGUGCCUUUUGAUGUUGACUAUUGAAGCUGAUGCUCCGUGGGUUACUGGAGCUGAAAUCAGUACAGUGCAAAAGCCCUUAACCAUUUCAUGCUCGAUCAAUGGCCCUAUGUAAAAAGAUUCCACACUGUAGCUGCUGUUUUGCUGGGCUUGUGGAGAUGCUGUAUGUCCACAGUGAAGUUUGAAAUUGCCAGCCUUGGACGUUGCACUGCCUUCUCAUCAAAGGAUCAAAGCAGCACCGAGGUGUUGAACAAACCAUGGCAGAGCUGUGUGAGGACUGCUGUGAUGCUGCUAUGGCACUCUGUUUUGUUUUACACAGCUAUGGGUAUGACGUACUCUCUGAGGAAAGCCCCUGCUGUUGGUUUGGUUUCUUUGCUGUUUUGUGUUUUGCUGUGAUUAUGGAAAAUAAUGGAGUCAAAAAACGUAUCAUUAUGUAUGUACUACAAAUUCCAAUUACUGAGGUGUUUAUCAGCAUCAGAGCAAAACAAAGGAGAAUGUGUUUAAUUUCAUUGUGUUGCUAAAGGGCCCAAAAAAAGAAAAUAGAUGUAAUUAAGAAGUCCCUGUAAAGCCAUUGGUUACAUGUAUAGGUGCCUUCUGGAUUCAGUCCUAGGAACGGAUAUAUAGUCCUCAAACCAUCGUUCCUGCUGUAGCACCCAAAUAGGAAUUAAAGGCAAACAGGAGAGCCCGGAAUGUUGUGAUGAUCCAUAGGGAUACUUAGGAAAAAUUCAAUUUGCUUAAUUCAGUGAGGAUGAAGACAAAACAGAAGUAUGAAGGGAGCUACUACAGUCAGCAAGCGUUAUACUGAAUUCCUGAAGGAAAGAAAGUGGCUGAACUGGGGGGAGAAAGAAAUCAAAGGUUAAUCAGGGGACUAUUUUCAUAUUCCAUAGGGUCCUUAUGCCCCCUCUUCUCUAAAGCUGUUGCUGUUGUAGCCAUGACACCUUGUUGCCUGAUGUAUGGUGCAAAUAAAAAGCCAAACCUUCCAUGAAUAGAAUUUUCUGAACAUUAUAAACAUCUGAAUUUCCAGUAUCUUCCUUGUUUUUCUUAGCUCCCACAUAUGGUUAUAAAGGGUAAGAACGUAUGUAAACCAUGAAGUCAGAAAUGCCUUGUAAAUUCAACUAUCAUAUUUUUGUGUGUGUGUCAGAGGGUAUUCACCAGUAUUUCGUAUUCUGUGAAAAAUCAGCAGUUGCUUGGCAAUUUCUUAGUCCUUUCUCAGAAACAAAUCAUAGCACUUAGCUGAAUUCUGAAGUUGUUCUUUUAUUGAACGAUAAAAACGUGAAAAAUAUCUCAUCAUUAUUAGUAACAAAUCAAUCAAAUCCAAAAGCAAAAUUGUGUGGCCCAUGACUUGAAUUGCACGAAUUAAAUUAGUUUGUCUCCGGAUUUAAGAUUAAAUGAUAUAAAAGUAUUCCUAAAUGAAUACAUGUAUAUACACAUGCAUGUAUGAAUACUUUGGGAACAAACAGACUUUAUGGACUGCUGUGUGGAGUUUACUUAAGUUGCUGUGAUGUGAAAAAGAAAAUGUUGCAGUUGCCUACAUUGUUUAUAUUUUAUUGUUCCUGUGAAACAGAAAGGGCA